rnacentral:lncRNA from 1 species
AUGCUGCUGUGCGUUCAGAGCGGCACAUCUCCCGUACGGGCAGCAGUGAGGAACAGUCCGCACCCCGCUAUCAUUCCGCCACAGGUGUCUGCGGGAGAAAAUGACGCCCCGGUUCCCUGCGUGUUGAGCCCUGGUCCCGGGGUGAGUCUCGCUGCAGCCUUUCCGAGUUCUCUGUGUCUGCGCGGGAGGCAGGAGCCGCCGAGCUCGACAGCAGGAGGACACAGGCCGGCUCACCCCGGUUCACCCCCCUCAGCUGUCCGUGUGCGGAACACCAGCAGCGCUUGCUCAGCUGGAAGGGGCGCAGAAACGGGCUCCCUUAAUCCUCCGUCCGCCUUCCAAACUCCCUGAGCAGGAGGGCGUGACCCUGCCCGGCCCGGCAGUCCGGGAGAUCGCUCCGUAAAACGGGGUGCCGGCUUCUCCCCAGGGGGCGCGCUCCCGGCCGGGCGUGUCGGAGCUCCGAGCGGGUGAGGGUGGGGGGGGGGGACUGGGAGGCCAGGUCUGCAGUCGGGGGAACCAGUGCUGGAAGAUCUGGGGGCUCACAGGGCGGGUCAGGACGCCAGCCAGCCUCAGACCCGUGCAGAGAAGGAGCUGCUCUGUCUGCAGUGUGCAGGGCCCGAUCUCCUGACCCUGUCGCCCCAGGGAGAGAGAGAGCUGGACACGCGUCAGCCCGAGCAGCCCUGUGGCCCCGAGGCCCUGCUGGCGCCGGGAGUCCGGUCCCGGUCGCCCCGCGCGCUGGGGCAGUGGCAGAGCGGGCGUCCCUGUGUGCUCGGGCACGAGACCUGUUUGCCGGGUAUCGGUCCCGAUCUUGGGGUUCCCCACACCUCUUCUUCUGCUCCAGAAGUCCAGGGCCCGGAGAGUCAGGGUCCAGUCUGUCCCCUGGUGACAGAAGCAGCUGUCAGACACAGCCCUGGUUUCGAGGGUCCUGUGGCGAGCCUGACAGGAUGU